UACCUGGUUGAUCCUGCCAGU
rnacentral:ncRNA from 8 species